rnacentral:rRNA from 1 species
AACGAACGCUGGCGGCAUGCCUAACACAUGCAAGUCGAACGAGACCUUCGGGUCUAGUGGCGCACGGGUGCGUAACACGUGGGAAUCUGCCCUUUGCUUCGGAAUAACAGUUAGAAAUGACUGCUAAUACCGGAUGAUGUCGAAAGACCAAAGAUGUAUCGGCAAAGGAUGAGCCCGCGUAGGAUUAGGUAGUUGGUGGCGUAAAGGCCUACCAAGCCGACGAUCCUUAGCUGGUCUGAGAGGAUGAUCAGCCACACUGGGACUGCGACACGGCCCAGACUCCUACCGGAGGCAGCAGUGGGGAAUAUUGGACAAUGGGCGAAAGCCUGAUCCAGCAAUGCCGCGUGAGUGAUGAAGGCCUUAGGGUUGUAAAGCCCUUUUACCAGGGAUGAUAAUGACAGUACCUGGAGAAUAAGCUCCGGCUAACUCCGUG